rnacentral:misc_RNA from 1 species
CACCGCCGCUGCGUCCG